UUUUACAACGGAAAGGGUUAAAUUAACUCUUUGACAUCUUUUUCUUCACAACCUUUUUUGCAUUUCUGAGAUUAUAUGCUGUAUAAUCUCAUUGUUUUAGUAAUUUAAUAAUAAAUAAGUCUACUGCAUGUAAAGAAAACAAACUCACAUUAACAUUUUUCACGUUUUGUUAGUGCUUUCAAAUGUUUCCAAUUUGACCUUCCCUCUGAAUAUGUAUGGUAUGUUUCCUGCCUGUUUAAGAAGGACUCACCUUUCCUUCAUACAAUACGAAACCCUUAGCCUUCUUCUGUUUUGCCUUUUCACGCCCUUUUUAGUGUGAAAUGAAAAAUUAGUCACUUCCUCACACAGAAGGCAGCUUUUCAGAAAACUAAAUAGCAGACAUUGCUUGUUUCUCAUGCAUUGUACGUGUCUUGAAAGUAAAAGCCUCUGAGAAGGGAACUUACUAGAGUUCAGUAUCAUGUCUGUUCCUGGUUUUAUGCUCAAAAUGUCCUAUCUUACAGUCAUUGUACUUGCAUUGCUUACCUACUCAAAGAAGUCACACUGAUCUAUGAUGUUAAGUCACCUUUUGAUAGGAUACUCAUAAACAUUUGUAGAUGUUUUACUAUAAGGAAAACUUAAGAAAGAUAGUUUUUUUAAGUGAACCAGAACAAAUCAGUCUAUUAAAAAGUAAUCCAUAUGAAUAGUUCAAGCAAGAUCAGACUGCUAACAAGAGUGUUUGAAACUAUUGAUUUGCUGGCUUAAAAUCUUGCCGGAACUCUUAAUAAGCUCAAAGCAUAUAAGUAUGAGUAUGUUUUUUAAAAAGAUUUCCAAAUAUGUGUAUAUUAGACAGUAAUGGUCAAAUUACGAAUAGCUUUGAGAGAAUUAUAUGAAACUCAAGUGUUAGGAUUGACUUGUGAAAAUAAAUUUGGUUUUCAUCAAAAUAUGAAUGUCUAAGCCAUUUUUAAAUUAAUUCUUUCUUAGUUAUUCAGAAAAAAGUUAGGAAUUUUAAUGGACAGCUAAAUUUUAAUGGCUGCUUUGGAUCUAAAACUAUUAAUUUAUGGUAAUUACUUAAAUAAGUUUGAAAUAUUGUUAGUAAAAAAUUCAUGUAAUAAAUAAAACUUUUAUUGGCAAAGAUUUAUGUAUAUUUAUAAGAACAAGACAUCUAAGCUGCUACAUUUAAUUUUUUAAUCUUUUAAUUGCCUAAAACACUUAGGGGAACAGUGUGAAUAUAUUGUCUAGAGAUAAGACACAAUAUAUACUUCCUCACCACUGAAAGCUUUUACCAAAUUUUCUUUGAAAUAAUGAAAAAUAAAAUUAUAGUUAAUAGUUUCAGAUUUGCUAAAAACUCAGCUUUUUACAGAGAGGUCUUAAAAUGUCUGUGUUUAGCCUUAAUUUUAUGGGUUUUUUUCCCCCAUGUUUUGAAUACAUGUCUCUGACUUGUAUAUUCAUCAUUUGAAUUUCAUUCCAGCUAAAUAUGAAUUUCAUGCUGCUAAAUCCUAACUGUGCAUUCAUUUACAUUCGAUGUAUUGGGAAUUUUAAGUUUGUUUAGAAGUAGAUAGUCUAAAUAAUUAGUGUAGAACCUAUUUUUCCACAGAGAGCUCAAAACACAUUCACUAUUAACUUUUGUUUCUGCUGAAUUGUAUAAACUCAAGCAAAAGAUAAGUUUACAGUUGCCAGUGCCUGUUUUUCUAUAUUAUAUUGAAAAUUAAAAUUUCAAGGACAAUUAGACAGCCUCCAAUUGUCAACAAAAUGCUAAAUUGAACAAUAGCA
rnacentral:lncRNA from 1 species